rnacentral:rRNA from 1 species
UACGUAGGUGGCAAGCGUUGUCCGGAUUUACUGGGCGUAAAGGGUGCGCAGGCGGCCGUGUGUGUGAGGCGUGAAAGCCUGGAGCUUAACUCCAGAAUUGCACCUCAAACUACAUGGCUAGAGCAUUGGAGAGGGUAGCAGAAUUCAUGGUGUAGCGGUGAAAUGCGCAGAUAUCGGGAAGAACACCCGUGGCGAAGGCGGCCGCCUGGGCCAGUCCUGACGCUGAGCCGCGAAAGCGUGGGGAGCGAUCCGG